GAUGAACGCUAGCUACAGGCUUAACACAUGCAAGUCGAGGGGCAGCAUGGUCUUAGCCUGCUAAGGCCGAUGGCGACCGGCGCACGGGUGAGUAACACGUAUCCAACCUGCCGUCUACUCUUGGACAGCCUUCUGAAAGGAAGAUUAAUACAAGAUGGCAUCAUGAGUCCGCAUGUUCACAUGAUUAAAGGUAUUCCGGUAGACGAUGGGGAUGCGUUCCAUUAGAUAGUAGGCGGGGUAACGGCCCACCUAGUCUUCGAUGGAUAGGGGUUCUGAGAGGAAGGUCCCCCACAUUGGAACUGAGACACGGUCCAAACUCCUACGGGAGGCAGCAGUGAGGAAUAUUGGUCAAUGGGCGAGAGCCUGAACCAGCCAAGUAGCGUGAAGGAUGACUGCCCUAUGGGUUGUAAACUUCUUUUAUAAAGGAAUAAAGUCGGGUAUGGAUACCCGUUUGCAUGUACUUUAUGAAUAAGGAUCGGCUAACUCCGUGCCAGCAGCCGCGGUAAUACGGAGGAUCCGAGCGUUAUCCGGAUUUAUUGGGUUUAAAGGGAGCGUAGAUGGAUGUUUAAGUCAGUUGUGAAAGUUUGCGGCUCAACCGUAAAAUUGCAGUUGAUACUGGAUAUCUUGAGUGCAGUUGAGGCAGGCGGAAUUCGUGGUGUAGCGGUGAAAUGCUUAGAUAUCACGAAGAACUCCGAUUGCGAAGGCAGCCUGCUAAGCUGCAACUGACAUUGAGGCUCGAAAGUGUGGGUAUCAAACAGGAUUAGAUACCCUGGUAGUCCACACGGUAAACGAUGAAUACUCGCUGUUUGCGAUAUACUGCAAGCGGCCAAGCGAAAGCGUUAAGUAUUCCACCUGGGGAGUACGCCGGCAACGGUGAAACUCAAAGGAAUUGACGGGGGCCCGCACAAGCGGAGGAACAUGUGGUUUAAUUCGAUGAUACGCGAGGAACCUUACCCGGGCUUAAAUUGCAGAUGAAUUACGGUGAAAGCCGUAAGCCGCAAGGCAUCUGUGAAGGUGCUGCAUGGUUGUCGUCAGCUCGUGCCGUGAGGUGUCGGCUUAAGUGCCAUAACGAGCGCAACCCUUGUUGUCAGUUACUAACAGGUUCCGCUGAGGACUCUGACAAGACUGCCAUCGUAAGAUGUGAGGAAGGUGGGGAUGACGUCAAAUCAGCACGGCCCUUACGUCCGGGGCUACACACGUGUUACAAUGGGGGGGUACAGAGGGCCGCUACCACGCGAGUGGAUGCCAAUCCCCAAAACCUCUCUCAGUUCGGACUGGAGUCUGCAACCCGACUCCACGAAGCUGGAUUCGCUAGUAAUCGCGCAUCAGCCACGGCGCGGUGAAUACGUUCCCGGGCCU
rnacentral:rRNA from 1 species